CUGCUUGUGUGUGAGAACAAUUAAAUCACAGCAUUUGUGAUUUCAUAAUUGCACUAAGCCAUAUCUCGAUUUUGGUUUUAUGUAAUGCAGCUAAAAGUAAAUGUUCUUAACCUGCAUAAACUGCUGUUUCCAACUUGUGUAUAUCAAAAAUAUGGCAAAUAACUUUGCGCAUAAAUCAGAUAACGUCCUAUUAUAUAUCCUAAUAAUCAAUAAAUAUUUGUAUACCAAUAUUUAGGGAUGUAUAAGGUUAUCCCGACUGUUUGUUUUUCUUAUUAACAGGUCUUGAAGGUCUUAACAUCAUAAAGCCAGUUGGACCCAUUCAUCACUAGGACAGGGUCAGUGAUUAUUUCUGGUUAGCAUCUCAGUGUUGGGUCAAGCAGAUGUUUUUUCAAGGUUUUGAGUUAAAAAAAAAAAAAAGGUGAAAUUAUUUGUGGCAUGUUGCUUACAUGAUUUUAGUGGUUUGCACGAGGGCCUAAUUAAGUCCUUCACACUGGAUUAUCAGGAGAUCUGGAGAACUGUCACAUCCUGUCUCUUUUCCUUUAGCUGCCAGGUCCAUCUCUUGCUAUGACGAGGUGGAACAUUCCUAUCCACACUCUUCCCUGAGACGGAGGCGGUUCAUUCUCAGCUGUUUAGGCCCUUUGUCGUCUCAGCUCACCAAAGGGUCAAUAACUUGACCCAUUGUACUUCAUGACCAUUGAGCAGGCUAUUAAUGGAGACUGAGGGGUUCUGUUUGAUUUACUUGGACAAGUGUCCAAUAGAUGUCACGUGAUGCUUUUGCUCCUUUGAUUGAGUUGCUUGUCAUUUGUCCCUUAUCCCUUGUUUGAGCCAGCUGAAUCAUGGAGACAGAGAAUCAGAGAAAACAGCCACACACAAACCCUGUGCUCCCUGCUGGAGAAGAUCCAACACAUAUCUGAAGCACAGAUAAAGAACUACAGAAGAGAUUGUCACAGCAAUCAAUGUUUAGAGAGAUCCAUCUAAUAUUUUCACUCUUCAUCAGCCCCCUUCUGUUAGGAAGAAAAAGGAAAAAAAAUGUUAAAGGUAAGCUGAUCCAGUUAAAAAUCAAACUCUACACCGCUAAUCAAUAUUGAUGGUAUUUUAUUUUUCAAUACACACUUAAAUAUUAAAAUGCAUUUCAUUAAGUGUAGUUGUUGAAACUACUUGCUAUUCAUAUCCUAAAGUCACUAAAAAGUGCUGAUCUACUG